rnacentral:rRNA from 1 species
AAAUUGAAGAGUUUGAUCAUGGCUCAGAUUGAACGCUGGCGGCAGGCCUAACACAUGCAAGUCGAACGGUAACAGGAAGCAGCUUGCUGCUUCGCUGACGAGUGGCGGACGGGUGAGUAAUGUCUGGGAAACUGCCUGAUGGAGGGGGAUAACUACUGGAAACGGUAGCUAAUACCGCAUAACGUCGCAAGACCAAAGAGGGGGACCUUCGGGCCUCUUGCCAUCGGAUGUGCCCAGAUGGGAUUAGCUAGUAGGUGGGGUAACGG